rnacentral:rRNA from 1 species
AGCGAACGCUGGCGGCAGGCUUAACACAUGCAAGUCGAGCGGGCGUAGCAAUACGUCAGCGGCAGACGGGUGAGUAACGCGUGGGAACGUACCUUUGGUUCGGAACAACACAGGGAAACGUUGUGCUAAUACCGGAUAAGCCCUUACGGGGAAAGGAUUAUCGCCGAAAGAUCGGCCCGCGUCUGAUUAGCUAGUUGGUGAGGUAACGGCUCACCAAGGCGACGAUCAGUAGCUGGCUGAGAGGAUGAUCAGCCA